rnacentral:rRNA from 1 species
CCUACGGGAGGCAGCAGUGGGGAAUAUUGCACAAUGGGCGCAAGCCUGAUGCAGCGACGCCGCGUGAGGGAUGACGGCCUUCGGGUUGUAAACCUCUUUCAGUAGGGAAGAAGCGAGAGUGACGGUACCUGCAGAAGAAGCGCCAGCUAACUACGUGCCAGCAGCCGCGGUAAUACGUAGGGCGCAAGCGUUAUCCGGAUUUAUUGGGCGUAAAGAGCUCGUAGGCGGUUUGUCGCGUCUGCCGUGAAAGUCCGAGGCUCAACCUCGGAUCUGCGGUGGGUACGGGCAGACUAGAGUGAUGUAGGGGAGACUGGAAUUCCUGGUGUAGCGGUGAAAUGCGCAGAUAUCAGGAGGAACACCGAUGGCGAAGGCAGGUCUCUGGGCAUUUACUGACGCUGAGGAGCGAAAGCAUGGGGAGCGAACAGGAUUAGAUACCCUGGUAGUCCAUGCCGUAAACGUUGGGCACUAGGUGUGGGGGACAUUCCACGUUUUCCGCGCCGUAGCUAACGCAUUAAGUGCCCCGCCUGGGGAGUACGGCCGCAAGGCUAAAACUCAAAUGAAUUGACGG